rnacentral:rRNA from 1 species
CCUACGGGUGGCAGCAGUGAGGAAUAUUGGUCCAUGGUCGGGAGACUGAACCAGCCAAGCCGCGUGAGGGAGGAAGGUACAGAGUAUCGUCAACCUCUUUUGUCAGGGAACAAAGGCGGGGACGUGUCCCCGGCUGAGUGUACCUGAAGAAAAAGCCUCGGCUAACUCCGUGCCAGCAGCCGCGGUAAUACGGGGGAUGCGAGCGUUAUCCGGCUUUAUUGGGUUUAAAGGGUGCGCAGGCGGUCUGUUAAGUCAGCGGUCAAAGCCCGGGGCUCAACCCCGGCCCGCCGUUGAAACUGGCAGUCUAGAGUUGGAGAGAAGUAUGCGGAAUGCGCGGUGUAGCGGUGAAAUGCAUAGACAGCGCGCAGAACUCCGAUUGCGAAGGCAGCAUGCCGGCUCCACACUGACGCUGAGGCACGAAAGCGUGGGUAUCGAACAGGAUUAGAUACCCUGGUAGUC